GACUUGUUUUUUCUCUUACAUGCCUUGAGUGUAGGACCGUUGGUAUAUUAAUUAUCCUCCCACACCCAAGGCUUGCAGGAGAGAGAGCCUCCUC
ensembl:miRNA MIR532 microRNA 532